rnacentral:rRNA from 1 species
UACGAAGGGGGCUAGCGUUGUUCGGAUUUACUGGGCGUAAAGCGCACGUAGGCGGAUUGUUAAGUCAGGGGUGAAAUCCCGGAGCUCAACUCCGGAACUGCCUUUGAUACUGAAGAUCUUGAGUUCGGGAGAGGUGAGUGGAACUGCGAGUGUAGAGGUGAAAUUCGUAGAUAUUCGCAAGAACACCAGUGGCGAAGGCGGCUCACUGGCCCGAUACUGACGCUGAGGCACGAAAGCGUGGGGAGCAAACAGG